rnacentral:rRNA from 1 species
GCAACUCGCCUACAUGAAGCUGGAAUUGCUAGUAAUCACAGGUCAGCAUACUGUGGUGAAUACGUUCCCGGGCCUUGUACACACCGCCCGUCACACCAUGAGAGUUGAGAAUACCCGAAGUCCAUGUCAAAGUGGCCGAAGGUAGGCUUGAUGAUUGGGGUGAAGUCGUAACAAGGUAGC